UACGAAGGGGGCUAGCGUUGCUCGGAAUCACUGGGCGUAAAGCGCACGUAGGCGGGUCCUUAAGUCAGGGGUGAAAUCCCGGAGCUCAACUCCGGAACUGCCUUUGAUACUGGGGAUCUUGAGUCCGGAAGAGGUGAGUGGAACUCCGAGUGUAGAGGUGAAAUGCGUAGAGAUCUGGAGGAACACCGAUGGCGAAGGCAGCCUUCUGGGCCAACACUGACGCUCAUGCACGAAAGCGUGGGGAGCAAACAGG
rnacentral:rRNA from 1 species